UGCGUAGGCGGAAUAUUAAGUCAGUGGUGAAAUCCUGCGGCUCAACCGUAGAACUGCCAUUGAUACUGAUAUUCUUGAAUAUAGUUGAGGUAGGCGGAAUGUGUAAUGUAGCGGUGAAAUGCUUAGAUAUUACACAGAACACCGAUUGCGAAGGCAGCUUACUAAACUAUUAUUGACGCUGAUGUACGAAAGCGUGGGGAGCGAACAGGAUUAGAUACCCUGGUAGUCC
rnacentral:rRNA from 1 species